ensembl:lncRNA
UGUCUUUAUCCAUCUGAUAUUAUGUUAAUGUAACUAGCCUAAUUAUAGAUUGUGUCUUGUCUUUAUCCAUCUGAUAUUAUGUUAAUGUAACUAGCCUAAUUAUAGAUUGUGUCUUUAUCCAUCUGAUAUUAUGUUAAUGUAACUAGCCUAAUUAUAGAUUGUGUCAUGUCUUUAUCCAUCUGAUAUUAUGUUAAUGUAACUAGUCUAAUUAUAGAUUGUAUUAUGUCUUUAUCCAUCUGAUAUUAUGUUAAUGUAACUAGCCUAAUUAUAGAUUGUAUUGUGUCUUUAUCCAUCUGAUAUUAUGUUAAUGUAACUAGUCUAAUUAUAGAUUGUGUCAUGUCUUUAUCCAUCUGAUAUUAUGUUAAUGUAACUAGUCUAAUUAUAGAUUGUGUCUUUAUCCAUCUGAUAUUAUGUUAAUGUAACUAGUCUAAUUAUAGA